UUUGAUCAUUGAUUAUGAUGGGAUAAUGUUGUUAAUUUUGAGAUCCUUUGUUUUCACCCUGUUUAUUAGCAUUUUUUUUACAGUAAAAGAUCUGGUGGCCUUAUUGUUACAGAAAAUUAUCUUGUCUAACAUAGGUGGAUCCCCUCAUUGCCUUGAUGGUUGAGAAAAAUAUGUUUCUUCUUUGCAUAUAAAAAUGGUCUACGAUUAGCUGACUUUGUG
rnacentral:misc_RNA from 1 species